rnacentral:rRNA from 1 species
AAAGUUGUUGCAGUUAAAAAGCUCGUAGUUGGAUUUCUGGCGUCGCCGCCCGGUCGGCCUCGAAAGGGGUUCGCACUCGUUGGCGCGCGUCGCCAUCCUCGGGGGAAGGCCGUCUGGCAUUAAGUUGUCGGACGGUCGACGCUCGUCGUUUACUGUGAACAAAUUAGAGUGUUCAAAGCAGGCUUAGGCCGUUGAAUACAUUAGCAUGGAAUAAUGAGAUAGGACUUUGGUAGUCUAUUUUGUUGGUUUGCACGCCGAAGUGAUGAUUAAUAGGGGCGGUUGGGGGUAUUCGUAUUCAAUUGUCAGAGGUGAAAUUCUUGGAUUUAUGGAAGACGAACUACUGCGAAAGCAUUUACCAAGGAUGUUUUCAUUAAUCAAGAACGAAAGUUAGGGGAUCGAAGAAGAUUAGAUACCUUCGUAGUCUUAACCAUAAACCAUGCCGACUCGGGAUGGGCGGUCGCUUGUUCAGGCUCCGUCCGCACCGUAUGAGAAAUCAAAGUCUUUGGGUUCCGGGGGGAGUAUGGUCGCAAGGCUGAAACUUAAAG